rnacentral:rRNA from 1 species
GUUAGAUGGGAGCCACCUCCAGAAGGAACUAUCAAAAUAAAUGUUGAUGCGGGUAUUUCCAUCGAUCAUGACGUGGAUGCAGGAGCGGCCAUUUGUCGUGAUCGUGAUGGAAGCUAUCUGGGCUCGUCUAUCCUUGUGAUCCACGGGAUGCUUGAUCCUGCUACGGUGGAAGCAGUGGCAUGUAGGGAGGCACUAUCACUUGCACAAGAUUUGGGGAUGCAACACUUGCUUGUGGCAUCUGAUUGCAAACAAGUCAUAAAUCAUACUCCCUCCGUUCCUAAAUAUUUGUCUUUCUAG